rnacentral:misc_RNA from 1 species
GAUGAAGAACGCAGCGAAAUGCGAUAAGUAGUGUGAAUUGCAGAAUUCAGUGAAUCAUCGAAUCUUUGAACGCACAUUGCGCCCCUCGGUAUUCCGGGGGGCAUGCCUGUCCGAGCGUCAUUGCUGCCCUCAAGCACGGCUUGUGUGUUGGGCCUCCGCCCCCCGGCUCCCGGGGGGCGGGCCCGAAAGGCAGCGGCGGCACCGCGUCCGGUCCUCGAGCGUAUGGGGCUUCGUCACCCGCUCCGUAGGCCCGGCCGGCGCCCGCCGGCGACCCCCCUCAAUCUUUCCAGGUUGACCUCGGAUCAGGUAGGGAUACCCGCUGAACUUAAGCAUAUCAAUAGCGGAGGA